GGGGAAGGCUAAUCCUCCCAGGGUGAGUCGGGAGCUAAGACGAGGCCGAGAGGCGUAGUCGAUGCACAACCGGUUGAUAUUCCGGUACCACUGUGAGCACGACCAGGCUCAACCAUUGUUGCUAAGGGGAUGCUAGGAGCCCGUAAAAAGGCACCUAGAGGAACCGACCCACAAUGGAGCGGCCAGCAAUGCGGGGACGCAGGAAGGUAGGUGAACCCACCCGAUGGUAGAGGUGGGGUAAGUAUGUAGGGCGGGUCCCAGGAAAAUCCGGUACCCACUAAGCCUGAGAUACGACGCCGACUCGAUUAAGAGGAAGUCAUUGAUCCUAUGCUGCCAAGAAAAGCCGCUAGCGAGUUCUCACGGUGCCCGUACCCCAAACCAACACAGGUGGAUAGGUAGAGAAUACCAAGGCGAUUGGGAGAACUGUGGUUAAGGAACUCGGCAAAUUGCAUCCGUAACUUCGGGAGAAGGAUGACCUCAUUAAAGUGAUGGAACUUGCUUCCUGAGCUUGAAGAGGUGUCACAAACCAGAGGGAAGCGACUGUUUACUAAAAACACAGCAGCGUGCUAAGCCGUAAGGCGCUGUAUACGCUGUGACGCCUGCCCGGUGCCGGAAGGUUACGGGGACGGGUUAGCCCUUUAGGGCGAAGCUCUGAACCUAAGCCCCGGUAAACGGCGGCCGUAACUAUAACGGUCCUAAGGUAGCGAAAUUCCUUGUCGGGUAAGUUCCGACCUGCACGAAUGGCGUAACGACUUCCCUACUGUCUCAACCACAGACCCAGCGAAAUUGAAGUACGAGUAAAGAUGCUCGUUAGCUACAGAAGGACGGAAAGACCCCGUGGACCUUUACUACAACUUGGUAUUGAUGUUUGACCUUCACUGUGCAGGAUAGGUGGGAGACUUUGAAGCGCAUGCGCCAGUGUGCGUGGAGUCAUCCUUGAAAUACCACCCUGUGUAUGUUGAACAUCUAACCUCGAACCGUUAUCCGGUUUAGGAACAGUGCCAGGCGGGUAGUUUGACUGGGGCGGUCGCCUCCCAAAGAGUAACGGAGGCGCCCAAAGGUUCCCUCAGCCUGGUUGGCAAUCAGGCAUCGAGUGCAAUGGCAGAAGGGAGCUUGACUGCGAGACCUACAAGUCGAGCAGGGUCGAAAGACGGGCAUAGUGAUCCGGCGGUUGCGUGUGGAAGCGCCGUCGCUCAACGGAUAAAAGGUACCCCGGGGAUAA
rnacentral:rRNA from 1 species